rnacentral:rRNA from 1 species
GAUCAUGGCUCAGGAUUAACGCUGGCGGCGUGCCUAAUACAUGCAAGUCGAAUGGUAGUAGCAAUACAAACCAUGGCGAACGGGUGAGUAACACGUAGGCAACCUGACUUUAAGACGAGGAUAACCGUUGGAAACGACGGAUAAUACUGGAUAGGACAUCACAAAGGGCAUCCUUAGAUGUUUAAAGGUUAUCAUGCCACUUAGAGAGGGGCCUGCGGCGCAUUAGCUAGUUGGUGAGAUAACAGCCCACCAAGGCGAUGAUGCGUAGCCGGACUGAGAGGUUGAACGGCCACAAUGGAACUGAGAACGGUCCAUACUCCUACGGGAGGCAGCAGUAGGGAAUUUUCGGCAAUGGGCGCAAGCCUGAACCCGAGCAACGCCGCGUGAACGAAGAAGUUAUUCGUAAUGUAAAGUUCUUUUAUCUGGGAAGAAAAACAAAUUGACGGUACCAGAUGAAUAAGCUCCGGCUAACUACGUGCCAGCAGCAGC